CUUGACGGCAUGAGCACUGGAUGUUAUUCUGUAUGUUGGUAAAUUGAACACCAAUAAAAAAAUUAAUUUAUUAAAAAAAAAGAAGAAAAAAGGUGUCUUCUAUCUAAAUUCUUUCCUAAUCUACUCUCCAAGGUUCUCCUGGUAAGAAUUCAAAACUUCCCUCCCCAUGACCAUGUCUUAUUUUUUAUACUCACCCACAUUCACUCUUUUAAUCCACUAUACCAACUUCAAAUACUAUAGCCCGUAACAACACAUUCUGUAUCUCCUUCCCGGUGAGUCUUAAUAUCCUCUGUCCUACAAAGAAAUGCAGUUCAUUUGAUUUUUCUGCCACUCAUCGGGGGCUCAUAUUAGUUCUGAACACAGUGUUUUGGUAAUGUCCUCUUGUUAAUACUGUGGCACAUCUUACCUGCAAUUUAGAUGCUUUACUGAACAAUCAGGGAACACAUUUAUUCUUAGAGUAUAUAUAUUAUCAUCACAAUUUAGAUGAGUCAAAUAAAAACAAACUAAUUAAGUACUUGAAAAAGAAAAUGCACAAAAGCAAUGAGAAACCUGAAACAUACCAUAUUUUUCUUUCUUCAACCCCAAUAUAAGCUGCUUCUUUAGCAAUAUACUGUUGAGGUUGUUUUAAGGUACCAAUUUAGCUCAUGCCAUGCAACAAUUCACAGUCUGAUUCAAGAUCAUGCUUCCAUAUAGUUAAUUUGAGUUAAUUUUUUGAACACUCUCAAGACCAAUGAAAGAGAAUUUCUCAUUUAGGAAAUAAAUUCAGCUGAACAGUUGCUGCAUUAAAUGUGGAUAUUUCAGAGUGGCAAUAUUUGGAAUGACUGCAUAUAACCCUCUUAGGGUUAUGGUUAAGUGUGUGUGAUUAUUACAUAUUCCUGUAAGCUCAACAAAUAGGCUUCUGAAUUGUUUCCUUAGCGAUGGUUACUAAGCACUUUGGAAGAUAGUAGAAUUUCCUUCUAUCUUAAUAUAAUAUGGACUGUACUUUUCUCCCCCAAAGAUCUCAUUAUUUUACAAGUUUUCUUUCACAGCUAGUGUUUUCAUAUUGGUAUCACAAACUAUAUGUUCCAGAAACACUGAAGUAUGAGCUUAUUUUCCGGCAAUAAUUUGUUAAAGGCUGAAGAACUGGCAUUUACUAAAAGAAAAAAAAUAGUAAGUCAUUAACUUUGUUAUUUA
rnacentral:lncRNA from 12 species